CACCCCCUGAAUCCGGUAAUCAAUGGCCACUAGACUCGUGUACCUUGUACACACGACGGCCAGUGGAUCCGGAAUCAGGCACAGAGAUGUAUCCUGGAAAAAGACGGCCAGAGAAUCCGAAAUCGUGUCCAGAGGUGUUUCGUGGGAAAGGCACGAUACGUGAAACUCGGAGUCAACAGAUUAGGAGCUUGCUCGCUUUGACGUUAGCGGCGGACGGGUGAGUAACACGUGAAUAACCUACCUAUAAGACUGGGAUAACUUCGGGAAACCGGAGCUAAUACCGGAUAACAUAUUGAACCGCAUGGUUCAAUAGUGAAAGGCGGCUUUGCUGUCACUUAUAGAUAGAUCCGCGCCGUAUUAGCUAGUUGGUAAGGUAACGGCUUACCAAGGCAACGAUACGUAGCCGACCUGAGAGGGUGAUCGGCCACACUGGAACUGAGACACGGUCCAGACUCCUACGGGAGGCAGC
rnacentral:rRNA from 1 species